rnacentral:lncRNA from 12 species
CACUACUGAGACUUGGGGCAUAUCAGAUCCAUAGGCAGAAAGGACAUAUUCUGGAGCUGUGGAAGAGGGGGGUGACUAGGGAAGACUUUACGCAGGAGGUAGCAUUUGAGGGGGGUCUUGAACAAUGGGUAGAAUUUCUGUGUGUGUUUAAGGGGAGGUUGGUUGUGAGGGCAUUUGGAAUAGAGUGAGAUGAAGGAGGCCGUAUACUGAAGCAGCCAAGGGAGUGGGCAUAUGAUUCAGAGGCCUGCAUUUGAAUUGUGUAGAUGAUCAUGGGCAAAUUGCUUAAUUUCCCCAAGUCUCAUCUUUAAAAUGGGGAUAUGAUACCUACUGUAUUAGGGUUAGUAUGAGGACAAAAUGAGAUAUAGUAAAGGUUAAUAGACUAUGGCUAUUAUGAUCUUUCAUUGUUAUUAUUAUAGGCUAACACAACAGAGAAGUGAAUGGGAAGAAAGCUCAGGGCUUAUCUGGGGAGAGUCUGAAGCUUCCACUAUGCAUGCAAAUGUAGUACAAAGCAAUUUGGGAAGAGUCAGGGCCAACGGUAAGAAACCUUGAAUUUAUUUAUUUUUUAAAUGUAUUGAGUAGGUGGAGGGGGCCCGCAAAGGAUUCUUACGCGGGAGUGACAUGAUCAGAGCUGUGCUGGUAACACACAGGUUGGAUGAAAGGAGAGAGCCAGUGAGCUAGGAGGCUGUAGGAAAGUCAAAAGUGUGGCUUCCUAACACCGGGAGAAGGAACGACUGCAAGAGAACGUCAUGGAAGGCCUUUGGUCCAUUGCAUGCAGGCUCAGCAAAUCCAUAUAGAGCUCUAAGCCCAUAAUCUGAAACAUGUCAAAUGAAUUGUAGCCCCAAGUUGAAAACUGGCUCAUCACGCUGCUGUCGUCGUUUAUGCUCUGGGCCUCCUGCUCUCUGAUCCCGGGUCCCAAGGACACUAGGCACGUGGAAUGAAUGCAGAGCAAGAGCAGUGAGCGAAUGCAUCCGGCCUCUGUCCAGCUUCGAGUACAUUUACGUUACGCGGGAAUUUACCGUGGGCUCAGGGUCCUGUGGAUGAUAAUUUGGAGGAAAAAUGUAGAUUCCAUCCACUCAAUAAACGAACAUUUGUUGGCUGCAUACUAUGUACCAGUGAACCUUCCAGGUGUUGGGGAUGAAAGGUCAAAUAAGACAGACUCUGUUCCGCCUCCUUGGAGCUCAUGGGCUAUAGGGUGGAAAACAGAGAUGGAACACAUAAUUGCAACUGGCAUGGUAGGUGGUGUGAAGGACUAUGGGAUAUCGAGGGGCGCCCACAGGGGUAUUUAACUGGAGGUCGGGGAGCAAUUUCUGAAAGACUCAUGUUGAAGGGGGUUAGAGCUCAUUCUCAGUUAUUUGAGUUUGGGAGAUUUAAUGUAGAGUAAAAAUUUUAAUCUCUCCUUUGACUUCACAGCUCCCACCUUGUCUGGAUGCAGGUUGUCUCUUCAGGUGCAACCAGUUGCUGCUUUCCAGGGAGCUGGUCAUCAUUUAAAUGUUAAUAUAAGCAAAACAUUAUUAGGAAGGUAACUUUGAUGCAAAUAAAUAUAUGGAGAGUUCUAAAGCCA